UACGUAGGGGGCAAGCGUUGUCCGGAUUUAUUGGGCGUAAAGAGCGUGUAGGCGGCCAGGCAGGUCCGUUGUGAAAACUCGAGGCUCAACCUCGAGAUGUCGAUGGAAACCGUUUGGCUAGAGUCCGGAAGAGGAGAGUGGAAUUCCUGGUGUAGCGGUGAAAUGCGCAGAUAUCAGGAAGAACACCCGUGGCGAAGGCGGCUCUCUGGGACGGUACUGACGCUGAGACGCGAAAGCGUGGGGAGCGAACAGG
rnacentral:rRNA from 1 species